GGUGUAACAAGGUCGGGUGCAAAGAUCGGGUGUGAUCAGGUCGGGCACGGAGCUCAGGUGUAACAAGGUCGGGUGCAAAGAUCGGGUGUGAUCAGGUCGGGCACGGAGCUCAGGUGUAAC